GUCCAGUGAGAUCUGCCACCCUCACACAGACAUAUACAUACAAGCAAAACACCAAUGCACAUAAAAUAAAAACAGAAAUAGACUAUUUGGAGCCAAAUGUAAGGUGCGUGCCUGUAAACUAGAUUCAGGAGUCUGGAGGAGAAGGGUCACAAGUUCACAGCCAGUCUAGAUUAUGUUUUAUACUUAGUGCCUGACUCAAUAAUAAAUAAAUAGUAUUCACAACUCUUAGGCCCCAGCCAAUCAAUAUUUUAUAAUCUACACACAAGUAAUAGAGCCUAGAAACUUAAUAACCAAAAGUACUUUAGAAAGCAGUUGGACCAACUUACCGCAGCACAUAGAUCCUUUCCGGAAGCUGCCAUAUUCGUGGAUGCCAGGAAUUCAGGAAGCUCUCCCACGUUCCCAGCAGGGUAGCAGUUUUCAGACCAGCUUCCCCUGGCUGACUAGCCCGGAAUCUUUACCCCACGAGAACCUUCCAGACCUUCAUCCCAGCUGCUCAUUUCACAAUGAAGCCUGAGGGGGCGCUGCAACCUUGUGGAAAGAAAGCUGCCUGACUGCCUGCCCAGAGAUUCCUUCUCUGUCCAUCUCUCCCGCAGAGAAACUAUGUCUGUGCCGCUUGUGUGGAAGCCAGACCAGCGCACCACACAGUGCUCCUCUCUGGACCCCAGGUUAGGCACACCCAAACCCAAACACAAAUUUCCAAGCACAAACCAAACGCAAAGAAAUCCUUUUUUGUUGUUGUUUUAACUUAAUGUUUUUAUUGAUUAUUUGGAAAUUUCACAUAAAGCGCCCUGAUCCCAUUCACUUUCCAGGCCACCCAGGUCCACCUUCCACCAUUAUGGCCUCUCUCAAAUAAAAAGAAGAAAAAAGAUACCAAGUCCAGUUAAUGUUGCCCACAUCCUCACUGGAGCAUGGUCAAACUCCCAGUGGCCAGUCCCUUAAAGAAAACUGAGUCCUCCUCCCCACCCCUCCCUUUUUUGAGUGAAGCAAAGAGACAAGGUGGCUGAAUCUGAAUAGGGCAGAAACAGCAACAAACAGCUUUGCAAGUGUUAGUUUAUGAAGUAAAAGGGGGGAGCUGUGUUAGAAGGAGCUAGGAUGGGAUGGUGAGUUCUGACUGCGUAUUUUAAUUAGUCUAGUCAAAAUAAUAAAUUUUGAUUGCUUGACCUCGGUGUUUUGAUAGUUGCACCUUGGUGAUCAGUCUCAGGAUGAGUCAUUGACCAAUUAAGGGAAUAGGCCUUGGGGGCUGGCUUUAGAAAUAUGAUCUAAUGGGUAAAAGGAAAACAUUGGUGCCAUGUUUGGCACGCUUGGGCCCUCGUUUGCUAUGCUUGGGCCUGUGUUUGCCUGCUAGAGUCCUUCAGCUGUGAUCUGGGAAACACACAUUCAUCAGAGCCAGGAAUAGAGUUCUCCAUCUCAUUCCUGAUCCCUGCAUUAUGUCUAUGUCAUAGACUAAAUUUUAAUGCCACCAACCAAGACAACAACCUCCACCUGAGGUGGCUACAGACUACCCCCUGGCCCCACAGACCUGGAGCGAGUGCUGACUCCUCAUGCUAGCCCACAGUUGCUGGGCUCAGCUAGAGAAGGACUGGGAACCCAAGGAUCUGGAAGCAAAGCAGGACAUCUGUCCUGACAGGAGCUCAAGCAAGACAGGUUUAUGUUGUCCCUUGAAAAAUACUGUUAAGUUUUCUCAGUCCAACAAGCCUCUCUGCCAACGCAAUAAUCCAAAUCAGACCAAAUCAAACCAAAUUAGAAGAAGCCCAGGUUUAAUGGAUGCCAGAGCUCCCAGGUGGCCCUCUGGGAAAACACGGAGAGGGGGAAGGAAAACCAGGAAGACCACGUGUUUGUUCUCUGGGGAGCAGUUUAAACAGCCUGUGGGAGUGGUCUUGAUCCUUCCUGUGGAGGGGUCACCAUCUGGUGGGCUUUCUCAGAGGUGGGGUUUGGACUGAGGCAACAUCCAGGGAGGAAACUUUGAAAUAGAACUUUCCACCCAACAUUCCAAAAUGGAUGCCAAGAGCUGAGGUGAAGCCCCCAACCAAACAAGAGGUGCCAGGGAGCUGAGGUGGCGCUGGCGCUUCCAACCAAACAGAAAUCAUAGCCCCUUAGUAAGCUUCUCUCCUCCAGUGGCUAGUUUAAGUUAGCUUCAGGCCAGAGUCAUGGGAGAGGUCUACAGUCAAUUGAGAAACGGCCUCCAUAACGCCUGUAAGGCAUUUUCCUAAUAACUGAUGGCGGUGGGUCCAGCCCAUUGUGGGUGGGGACAUUUCUGGGACGGCAGUCCUGGGUUCUUCAAGAAGCAGACUGAGCAAGCCAGCAAGCAGCACUCCUGCAUGGCUUCCGCAUCAGCUCCUGCCUCCAGGUUCCCCAUAACUGUCUUCUGUGAUGAACAGUGAUGCAGAAGCGUAAGCAACAUAAUCCCUUUCCUCCCCACGCUGCUUUUGGCCAUGGUGUCCCAUUCCAUCAGUAGUAACUGUAACGAAGACAUCUCCCCCAAUCUGUACUUUCUUCUUCAGAAUCCCUUCCGUUCCUUUGCAGGUUCCAGGAAGGAGGCUGGCUCUUGCCUUCUUAGCUUCAGCAGCUGAGAGUGAGGCGGACGCUCACCUUCAUUCUCUGCGUUCUAGAGGAGGAGUGGAAAGCCCCUGCAGACAGGAGGGAACUCACCAGGUGCAGCUUCAGGGAGCCAGAGCCUCGUGAACCCUGACACAUGGAGACAACCAAGAUGAACUUUUAUACCUGUCAAGUUCAGAGUUAUUUCAGGGCCACCCAGGCCCCUUGUAUGCAGAAUAGAAGCAUAGCAGCCUACAGUCAUGGUAACUUAGUGCAAUGCUCUUCGCUCUGGACAGGGUUUACUGUUCCUGGCCACAGAAUCCACAGUGAGAAGGGGAAAAGGCACUCAGAGUGCAUGGCUGCUUUAGAAAUCACAGAACACCGAGUUUAAACUCUCGCCCCUGUCCCUUCCCUGAUGCGGUUUCUCCCACACGGCCUGCCUCUGCAGCGUCCUCGCCCCACUGCCUGGAGUGAAGAGAGCUCAGCCUUUUAGCACGGCAUGGCUACUACCUAAUAAGAUGCCUGGCACACACUAGUUCAUUAGUAAUCCGAGCUUAGAGACGCUCCGAGAUAUUUCAAUAUAGAUUGUUGCAUGCUUUAAUUAAUGACAAGGAGCCCCCCACACUCAUGCCAAUUCAAAAUACUGAACAGGAUUAUACAUGAACCGACUCCCAAAGCGAGAGUUGUGUCAACUUAACUCCCAAAUGGCCCCAUCCUUUCUGAGGGGCUUUGUAGAUGGGUUGAGGGGAAAGGCCUUGAAAUGACGAGACUACCCUAGAUUGUCUGGGUAUCCCUGUGAAGCAGAGCGCCAUCUCCUGGCUGUGAUCAUAAGUGCAACGAGGUGGCUUUGAAGAUUGUAGGAACACCAGUUAAUAUUGUCUCAGAAGAUGACAACCCUACUCCGCACCUUCUCUGUAGCCUUCUGAGACCCUUGAGUGUUUGACUUCUGGCCUGUAAGAUUUAAGAUGACUCAUUGCAAGCCCCUGUAUCCUGUGACGAUCUGUUAGAUUUAUUAGCAACAGGAAACACAGAGUACCAAUCCCCGGCCCUUCACAAAUGGAUCAUUCUGAACCUCUGCUUCCUCGUUAACAGGAAUAGACAAAGGACGCUCGCCUAGGCGGAUUCCCAUGAGGAUGAGAAGCGAGACUGCGGGACACAUUGCCUGGACCCUGCCUGUAAGGAAGGCAGUGGCUCCCCCAGCUGAGGGUCACGGCGAAGAGGAGCCCGUGCCCAGGACGGGAUCAGAGCGCCGCCUCGUGGCUACUAUGAGUAACAGCACAAGAUGACAUUCUGCAAAGAAAACAACUCCCAAGGGAGAAUCAGGCUGGCUGAGCAUUGAAAAUCCCAAGGUCUCAGAUGACUGGCCAGCUCAUAUUUCAUGGACUUGCCUGACCUAAGGGAAAGACAUCCCAAGAUUUAUCUGAGAUGACUGAACGACUGCCCCAGUUAAGAUGGAAACAGCCAAAUCAGUGUGUUCAUUCACUUCAUUUACCUCUCAGUCUCAACACUGGAUUCCAUUUACUGAGACUUCUUUGGCAAAUUCUUCUCCUUACCAUCAGAAGAGAACACAAAUAGAUCCUGUGACCAAAAUACCUGAGGGGAAAAUUUAAAGGACAAAAAUUUGUUUUCUGGUCUUGGAGCUUUGAGAUGAAGUCCUUGGUUCUGCUGACUCCGAGCUAGCAAUGAAUCAGAAGAGCAAGAAAGCAGGAGCCUGUACCAAAGGAGGCAGUAGUUCACCUUGUGAUGAACCUUCAAAGGGCUAACCUCCGCCAUCUGAUUCCUACAAGCAUUUCCUACCUAAUGUUUCCAGAACCUUCCUGGGAAUCAAGAGUACACCAUAUGAACACAUGGGAGAUGUAUCAAAUCUAAAUCAUAUCUUUGUAUUGCCCUGGAUGUUUUUAUAGAUAAUAUUUAAUAUACACAAUACUGAGUUGUUAUCUCUGUCUUUAAUAAAUUUUCAAUUUACUCAUUUCUA